rnacentral:rRNA from 2 species
GCGACCCCAGGACGGGCGAGGCCACCCGCCGAGUUUAAGCAU